CUUGAGACCGGCGCACGGGUGCGUAACGCGUAUGCAAUCUGCCUUCCACAGAGGGAUAGCCCAGAGAAAUUUGGAUUAAUACCUCAUAGCAUCAUGACCCGGCAUCGGGAUAUGAUUAAAGUCACAACGGUGGAAGAUGAGCAUGCGUCCCAUUAGCUAGUUGGUAAGGUAACGGCUUACCAAGGCUACGAUGGGUAGGGGUCCUGAGAGGGAGAUCCCCCACACUGGUACUGAGACACGGACCAGACUCCUACGGGAGGCAGCAGUGAGGAAUAUUGGUCAAUGGGCGCAAGCCUGAACCAGCCAUGCCGCGUGCAGGAUGACGGUCCUAUGGAUUGUAAACUGCUUUUGUACGGGAAGAAACCCUCCUACGUGUAGGAGCUUGACGGUACCGUAAGAAUAAGGAUCGGCUAACUCCGUGCCAGCAGCCGCGGUAAUACGGAGGAUCCAAGCGUUAUCCGGAAUCAUUGGGUUUAAAGGGUCUGUAGGCGGUCUUGUAAGUCAGUGGUGAAAGCCCAUCGCUCAACGGUGGAACGGCCAUUGAUACUGCUGGACUUGAAUUAUUGGGAAGCAACUAGAAUAUGUAGUGUAGCGGUGAAAUGCUUAGAGAUUACAUGGAAUACCAAUUGCGAAGGCAGGUUGCUACCAAUGGAUUGACGCUGAUGGACGAAAGCGUGGGUAGCGAACAGGAUUAGAUACCCUGGUAGUCCACGCCGUAAACGAUGGAUACUAGCUGUUGGGCGCAAGUUCAGUGGCUAAGCGAAAGUGAUAAGUAUCCCACCUGGGGAGUACGAACGCAAGUUUGAAACUCAAAGGAAUUGACGGGGGCCCGCACAAGCGGUGGAGCAUGUGGUUUAAUUCGAUGAUACGCGAGGAACCUUACCAAGGCUUAAAUGCAGACUGACCGGUUUGGAAACAGACCUUUCGCAAGACGGUCUACAAGGUGCUGCAUGGUUGUCGUCAGCUCGUGCCGUGAGGUGUCAGGUUAAGUCCUAUAACGAGCGCAACCCCUGUUGUUAGUUGCCAGCGAGUCAUGUCGGG
rnacentral:rRNA from 1 species